rnacentral:lncRNA from 1 species
UUCUCCCUCAUCUCAUCCCCUCAUCUUCUCUACUCUCCUUUCCUCUCUUCCUCUCUCAUCUCAUCCUCUCCUUUCGUCUCUUCCUCCAUCAUCUCAUCCACUCAUCCCCUCUCCUCUCUUCCUCCCUCAUCUCAUCCCCUCACGUUCUCUCCUCUCCUCUGCUCUCCUCUCCUCUCCUCUCUUCCUCCAUCAUCUCAUCCACUCCUCUCCUCUCCUCCUUCCUCAUCUCAUCCCCUCAUCUUCUCUCCUCUCUUCUCUUCCUUCCUCAUGUCAUCCACUCAUGUUCUCUCCUCUCCUUUCCUCUCUUCUUCCCUCAUCUCAUCCUCUCCUCUCCUCUCCUCUCCUCUCUUCUUCCCUCAUCUCAUCCUCUCCUCUCCUCUCUUCUUCCCUCAUCUCAUCCUCUCCUCUCCUCUCUUCUUCCCUCAUCUCAUCCUCUCUCCUCUCCUCUCCUCUCCUCUCUUCUUCCCUCAUCUCAUCCUCUCCUCUCCUCUCCUCUCCUCUCUUCCUUCCUCAUCUCAUCUCACCCUCUCCUCUCCUCUCCUCUCUUCCUUCCUCAUCUCAUCCUCUCCUCUCCUCUCCUCUCUUCCUCCCUCAUCUCAUCCCCUCAUGUUCUCUCCUCUCCUCUCCUCUCUUCCUUCCUCAUCUCAUCUCAUCCUCUCCUCUCCUCUCCUCUCUUCCUUCCUCAUCUCAUCUCAUCCUCUCCUCUCCUCUCUUCCUCCCUCAUCUCAUCCCCUCAUGUUCUCUCCUCUCCUCUCCUCUCUUCCCCCCUCAUCUCAUCCCCUCAUGUUCUCUCCUCUCCUCUCCUCUCUUCCUUCCUCAUCUCAUCCCCUCAUCUCCUCUCCUCUCCUCUCCUCUCCUCUCCUCUCCUCUCUUCCUCCCUCAUCUCAUCCACUCAUGUUCUCUCCUCUCCUCUCUUCUCCAUUUGUUUCUGUGUUGAGCCCCCACCCAGAACUAUUAUUAGACUGGCUUUCUAGCCUCAGAGAGAGAGAGAGAGAGAGAGAGAGAGGGAGGGAGGGAGAGAGAGAGAGAGAGGGUCAGAGAGAGAGAGAGGGACACGGAGAGAGAGAGGGAAAGAGUGAGUCAGGGAA